rnacentral:rRNA from 1 species
AACGAACGCUGGCGGCAGGCUUAACACAUGCAAGUCUAGCGCCCCGCAAGGGGAGCGGCAGACGGGUGAGUAACGCGUGGGAAUCUACCCAUCUCUACGGAAUAACGCAUGGAAACGUGUGCUAAUACCGUAUACGUCCUUCGGGAGAAAGAUUUAUCGGAGAUGGAUGAGCCCGCGUUGGAUUAGCUAGUUGGUGGGGUAAAGGCCUACCAAGGCGACGAUCCAUAGCUGGUCUGAGAGGAUGAUCAGCCACACUGGCACUGAGACACGGCCCAGACUCCUACGGGAGGCAGCAGUGGGGAAUAUUGGCAAAUGGGCGCAAGCCUAAUCCAGCCAUGCCGCGUGAGUGAUGAAGGCCCUAGGGUUGUAAAGCUCUUUCACCGGUGAAGAUAAAGACGGUAACCGGAGAAGAAGCCCCGGCUAACUUCGUGCCAGCAGCCGCCGUAAAAC